CAGAACGAACGCUGUCGGCGUGCUUAACACAUGCAAGUGGAGCGACGAACCGGGCUUCGGCCCGGGGCAUAGCCCCGAACGGGUGAGUAUCACGUGGGUAACCUGCCCCGAUGACCGGGAUAACCCGAGGAAACUCGGGCUAAUACCGGAUGUGCUCCCAAUCCAUCAGGGUUGGGAACAAAGGAAGCUUCGGCCUCCGCAUCGGGAUGGGCCCGCGGCCCAUUAGCUUGUUGGUGAGGUAAAGGCUCACCAAGGCGACGAUGGGUAGCUGGUCUGAGAGGACGAUCAGCCACACUGGGACUGAGACACGGCCCAGACUCCUACGGGAGGCAGCAGUGGG
rnacentral:rRNA from 1 species